rnacentral:rRNA from 1 species
AGCCAGACUCCUACGGGAGGCAGCAGUGGGGAAUAUUGCACAAUGGGCGCAAGCCUGAUGCAGCGACGCCGCGUGCGGGAUGGAGGCCUUCGGGUUGUAAACCGCUUUUGUUCAAGGGCAAGGCAGGCUUUCGGGCCUGUUGAGUGGAUUGUUCGAAUAAGCAUCGGCUAACUCCGUGCCAGCAGCCGCGGUAAUACGGAGGAUGCGAGCGUUAUCCGGAUUUAUUGGGUUUAAAGGGUGCGCAGGCGGCACGGCAAGCCGGCGGUCAAAUCGCGGGGCUCAACCCCGCCCAGCCGUCGGAACUGCCGGGCUAGAGUGGGCGAGAAGUGCGCGGAAUGCGUGGUGUAGCGGUGAAAUGCAUAGAUAUCACGCAGAACUCCGAUUGCGAAGGCAGCGCACCGGCGCCCUACUGACGCUCAGGCACGAAAGCGUGGGUAUCGAACAGGAUUAGAUACCCUGGUA